CGUUCUCUUUUAUUUCGAUUAAAACCCUCCUAACAUCUCGAUCAGUUAUCUCCCCCAGCUCUCUCCUCUCUCUGGUCUCGUCCCCCAGCUCUCUCCCCUCUCUGGUCUCGUCUCUCUCAACUCUCUCUCUCUCGCAUCUCUCGGCUCUCUCUCUCUGUAACCCUCUCUCUCUGCUAUGGCGCCAAAAAAGACAAAGGCAAAAGGAAUGGCUAUUUCUCAAAGGAUGAUAAUGGUGAUUGCGAUGAGGAAGAUUGAAAUGAAGCUACCUAGCUAGAUGCAUUAUUGGUAGGGAUGCUGAUUUUGUUAAAACAUUGCUUUUGUCUUUUGAUUGUUCAGCUGUAACGUAUAUGAUUGUUGGCUUUUGCUAGCUUUUGGCUGAUUGUUUAGCUGUAACAUUUAUGUCGUACAUAAUUUUAUAACUGUCCUUUUGUAAAUAUAUGAAUGCUUGUUGGCUUUUAAA